rnacentral:tRNA from 1 species
UAGCUCAACUGGAUAGAGUGCCUGACUACGGAUCAGGAGGUUAGGGGUUCGACUCCUCU